rnacentral:rRNA from 1 species
AGAAUCAACGCUGGCGGCGUGCCUAACACAUGCAAGUCGAACGAGAAAGUGGGAGCAAUCCCACGAGUAAAGUGGCGCACGGGUGAGUAACACGUGACUAACCUACCCUUGAGUGGGGGAUAACCUAGGGAAACCUGGGCUAAUACCGCAUAAUACCUACGGGUCAAAGGAGCAAUUCGCUUAAGGAGGGGGUCGCGGCAGAUUAGUUAGUUGGCGGGGUAAUGGCCCACCAAGACAGUGAUCUGUAUCCGGCCUGAGAGGGCGCACGGACACACUGGAACUGAAACACGGUCCAGACUCCUACGGGAGGCAGCAGUGGGGAAUUUUGCGCAAUGGGGGAAACCCUGACGCAGCAACGCCGCGUGGAGGAUGAAGCCCCUUGGGGCGUAAACUCCUUUCGAUCGGGAAGAUAAUGACGGUACCGGAAGAGAAGCCCCGGCUAACUUCGCGCCAGCAGCCGC